rnacentral:rRNA from 1 species
AGGAAUAUUGGUCAAUGGAGGCAACUCUGAACCAGCCAUGCCGCGUGCAGGAAGACGGCCCUAUGGGUUGUAAACUGCUUUUGUACGGGAGAAAACCCUUUCACGUGUGAGAGGUUGAUAGUACCGUAAGAAUAAGCAUCGGCUAACUUCGUGCCAGCAGCCGCGGUAAGACGAAGGAUGCAAGCGUUAUCCGGAUUCAUUGGGUUUAAAGGGAGCGUAGGUGGACUUGUAAGUCAGUGGUGAAAUCUCUCAGCUUAACUGAGAAACUGCCAUUGAUACUGCAGGUCUUGAGUACAGAUGAUGUGGGCGGAAUAUGACAUGUAGUGGUGAAAUACUUAGAUAUGUCAUAGAACACCGAUUGCGAAGGCAGCUCACGAAACUGUAACUGACACUGAGGCUCGAAAGCGCGGGGAUCAAAC